AGCGGGAAGAAGCUCAAAUUUAUAAUCUGGCACCUUCGGUGUCCGAGUUGUAAUCUCUAGAAAUGUUUUCCGCGUUGGACCGCACACAAGUCUGUUGGAAUACAGCGGCAUAGUGGUGAGACCCCCGUAUAUGGUGCGGACGCCCAGCGCUUUGUGAUACAUUUUCGAAGAGUCGAGUUGUUUGGGAAUGCAGCUCAAAUUGGGUGGUAAAUUCCAUCUAAAGCUAAAUAUUGGCGAGAGACCGAUAGCGAACAAGUACCGUGAGGGAAAGAUGAAAAGCACUUUGGAAAGAGAGUUAACAGUACGUGAAAUUGUUGGAAGGGAAACGCUUGAAGUCAGACUUGCUUGCCGAGCAAUCGGUUUGCAGGCCAGCAUCAGUUUUCCGGGAUGGAUAAUGGUAAAGAGAAGGUAGCAGUUUCGGCUGUGUUAUAGCUCUCUACUGGAUACAUCCUGGGGGACUGAGGAACGCAGUGUGCCUUUGGCGGGGGUUUCGACCUCUUCACACUUAGGAUGCUGGUGGAAUGGCUUUAAACGACCCGUCUU
rnacentral:rRNA from 1 species